GACGAGCGCUGGCGGCGUGCCUAAUACAUGCAAGUCGAGCGGACGGAUGGGAGCUUGCUCCCAGACCGUCAGCGGCGGACGGGUGAGUAACACGUGGGCAACCUGCCUGUAAGACUGGGAUAACUCCGGGAAACCGGGGCUAAUACCGGAUAACUCUUUCCCUCACAUGAGGGAAAGCUGAAAGAUGGCAUCUCGCUAUCACUUACAGAUGGGCCCGCGGCGCAUUAGCUAGUUGGUGAGGUAACGGCUCACCAAGGCGACGAUGCGUAGCCGACCUGAGAGGGUGAUCGGCCACACUGGGACUGAGACACAGCCCAGACUCCUACGGGAGGCAGCAGUAGGGAAUCUUCCGCAAUGGACGAAAGUCUGACGGAGCAACGCCGCGUGAGUGAUGAAGGUUUUCGGAUCGUAAAACUCUGUUGUCAGGGAAGAACAAGUACCGGAGUAACUGCCGGUACCUUGACGGUACCUGACCAGAAAGCCACGGCUAACUACGUG
rnacentral:rRNA from 1 species